UACGUAGGGUGCGAGCGUUGUCCGGAAUUAUUGGGCGUAAAGAGCUCGUAGGCGGUUUGUCGCGUCUGCUGUGAAAACUCGGGGCUUAACUCCGGGCCUGCAGUGGGUACGGGCAGACUAGAGUGCGGUAGGGGAGACUGGAAUUCCCGGUGUAGUGGUGAAAUGCGUAGAUAUCGGGAGGAACACCAGUGGCGAAGGCGGACUUUCGUGGCCUGUUCUUGACGCUGAGGCGCGAAAGCUAGGGUAGCAAACGGGAUUAAGAUGACCCUAG
rnacentral:rRNA from 1 species